CCUACGGGAGGCUGCAGUGAGGAAUAUUGGUCAAUGGACGAGAGUCUGAACCAGCCAAGUAGCGUGCAGGAUGACUGCCCUAUGGGUUGUAAACUUCUUUUGUCGGGGGGCAAAAGCCGGACGUGUCCGGCUGUGAGAGUUACCGAAGAAAAAGCAUCGGCAAACUCCGUGCCAGCCGCCGCGGUAAUACGGAGGAUGCGAGCGUUAUCCGGGGUUAUUGGGUUUAAAGGGUGCGCAGGCGGAUUUUUAAGUCAGCGGUCAAAGCGGGGGGUUCAACCCCAGCCAGCCGUUGAAACUGGGGAUCUAGAGUGUGCGAGAGGUAGGCGGAAUGCGUGGUGUAGCGGUGAAAUGCAUAGAUAUCACGCAGAACCCCGAUUGCGAAGGCAGCAUACCGUAGCACAACUGACGCUGAGGCACGAAAGCGUGGGUAUCGAACAGGAUUAGAUACCCUUGUAGUC
rnacentral:rRNA from 1 species